GAAGGGACCUUUAAAGACCAUCUGGUCCCAUUCCACGCACUGGACAGGAACACCUGCAGGUGCUCAGAGGCCCCCAGCCAGACUGCAGGGAGAUCCUGGGGAUCCCUAUAGGAGCUGGCAGGAAACAUCACACUGGGAAACCCCACCUGGCUGAGGGUCCCCGGGUGGCUGCACUGUUCUCUGAGAAUCACUGUGCUCUCUGCAACCUCUGCCAGCAGUCCUCCCACCACUAUUUAUUGCAGUUUCCAGACCACCUGCAGGCCCCCUGAGCUCUGCGUGAGGGCAGAUUUGCGGCGGCCACGGAUCAAUAUGACCUUCUGUUUUAUGAAUGGGGGAAGGGAAUUUAUUUGGAGGCAGAGCAUCCACAGCACAUCGUGGUUUGGGGCUUCUAGCUGUGAACUUCAGCCUCAGGUAAUGGGGCAAAGCAGCGCUGUGCAGAUAUCCUGCCCACGUGGAGCAGCAAUGCAGAAUUUGGCUACGUGUGUUUCUCCACUGCUCCAUCGCUCCCCAUCCCUGUGUCCACUGUCAGAUUUUGUGUCUCAGUUCCUACAGUUACAGAUUCAGGGACUGAAGGAAUAAUGGCUACUGGGACCCCAUCAGGAAAAAAAAAAAAGAAGUGCCGUAAGAUUUUUGGCCAUAAGAGGUUUAAGAACUUCCACAGCUGAACGAAUCAGCGUCCCCUAACUGACAGAGGAUAAUGGAUUUAAUAAAUAGCUAUG
ensembl:lncRNA